rnacentral:rRNA from 1 species
AACGAACGCUGGCGGUAUGCCUAAUACAUGCAAGUCGAACGCGAAAGUCCUUCGGGAUGAGUAAAGUGGCGCACGGGUGAGUAACACGUAGGUGACCUUCCUUAAAGUUUGGAAUAACUCUUAGAAAUGAGAGCUAAUACCGGCUACAUUGCUUAGUUUUAAAUACUAAUCAAGAAAGAAUGCCUCUAUUUAUAAGCAUUCGCUUUAAGAUGGGCCUGCGGGACAUUAGCUUGUUGGUGGGGUAAUGGCCUACCAAGGCAUCGAUGUCUAACGGAUUUGAGAGAAUGAUCCGUCACACUGGAACUGAGACACGGUCCAGACUCCUACGGGAGGCAGCAGUAGGGAAUAUUGCGCAAUGGGCGAAAGCCUGACGCAGCAAUACCGCGUGAGUGAGGAAGGUCUUCGGAUUGUAAAGCUCUGUCAGGGUGGAAAAAUGGUAGUUGUUCUAACAGGGCAGCUAAUUGAUGGUACACCAAAAGGAAGCACCGGCUAACUUCGUGCCAGCAGCCGCGGUAAUACGAAGGGUGCAAGCGUUGUUCGGAUUUAUUGGGCGUAAAGCGCGCGCAGGCGGGUUUGAAAGUCAGAUGUGAAAUCUCGGGGCUCAACUCCGAAACUGCGUCUGAAACUUCUUAUCUAGAAUCCUGGAGGGGGGAGGGGAAUUUCGCAUGUAGGGGUAAAAUCCGUAGAUAUGCGAAGGAACACCAGAGGCGAAGGCGCCUCCCUGGACAGGUAUUGACGCUGAGGUGCGAAAGCGUGGGGAUCAAACAGGAUUAGAUACCCUGGUAGUCCACGCUGUAAACGAUGAGUACUAGAUAUUGUGGGUAUUGACCCCCUCAGUGUCGCAGCUAACGCAUUAAGUACUCCGCCUGGGAAGUACGGUCGCAAGACUAAAACUCAAAGGAAUUGACGGGGGCCCGCACAAGCGGUGGAUUAUGUGGUUUAAUUCGAAGCAACGCGCAAAACCUUACCUGGGUUUGAAAUCCGGUGAAUUUGGUAGAAAUAUCGAAGUGCCCGCAAGGGAAUACCGAGACAGGCGCUGCAUGGCUGUCGUCAGCUCGUGUCGUGAGAUGUUGGGUUAAGUCUCGCAACGAGCGCAACCCCUAUCAUUAGUUGCCAGCAUUAAGUUGGGCACUCUAAUGAGACUGCCUGGGUUAACCAGGAGGAAGGUGGGGAUGACGUCAAGUCCUCAUGGCCCUUAUAUCCAGGGCCACACACGUAAUACAAUGGUCGGUACAGAGGGAUGCGAACUCGCGAGGGGGAGCAAAUCUCAAAAAACCGAUCUCAGUCCGGAUUGGAGUCUGCAACUCGACUCCAUGAAGUUGGAAUCGCUAGUAAUCGCGGAUCAGCACGCCGCGGUGAAUACGUUCCCGGGCCUUGUACACACCGCCCGUCACACCAUGGGAGUUGUUCUUACCUGAAGUCGUGGCCUCAACCAGCAAUGGAGGGGAGCGCCUACGGUCGGAGCGAUGACUGGGGUG